rnacentral:rRNA from 1 species
UACAGAGGUCUCAAGCGUUGUUCGGAUUCAUUGGGCGUAAAGGGUGCGUAGGCGGCGGGGAAAGUCUGAUGUGAAAUCCUGAGGCUCAACCCUGGAACUGCAUUGGAUACUUCCUUGCUAGAGUACUGGAGAGGAAACUGGAAUUUACGGUGUAGCAGUGAAAUGCGUAGAGAUCGUAAGGAAGACCAGUGGCGAAGGCGAGUUUCUGGACAGUUACUGACGCUGAGGCACGAAGGCCAGGGGAGCAAACGGG